rnacentral:rRNA from 1 species
AUGGACAGAGCUGAUACUUCAGGCUUUCUUGGUAGUGGCUCACAUUGCAAGAACAUUGACGUGUGCUUCCAUUUUGUGUAUACUAUAUACUUUCUCGGUGGUGAAGUUGUUAAACUGGGGUUUUGA